rfam:Triticum aestivum genome assembly, contig: Triticum_aestivum_CS42_TGACv1_scaffold_320628_4BL
UUUGUACUCCCUCCGUCCGAAAAUACUUGUCAUCAAAAUGAAUAAAAAAGGAUGCACCUAAAACUAAAAUACUUCUAAAUACAUCUUCUUUAAUCCAUUUUGAUGACAAGUAUUUCCGGACGGAGGGAGUAACUA